rnacentral:rRNA from 1 species
GUUGCAUGACUUGAUUAUGAAAGAUUUAUCGCUUAUGGAUGGACUCGCGUCAGAUUAGAUAGUUGGUGAGGUAACGGCUCACCAAGUCAACGAUCUGUAGCCGAACUGAGAGGUUGAUCGGCCGCAUUGGGACUGAGACACGGCCCAGACUCCUACGGGAGGCAGCAGUGGGGAAUAUUGCGCAAUGGGGGCAACCCUGACGCAGCAACGCCGCGUGCAGGAAGAAGGUCUUCGGAUUGUAAACUGUUGUCGCAAGGGAAGAAGACAGUGACGGUACCUUGUGAGAAAGUCACGGCUAACUACGUGCCAGCAGCCGCGGUAAUACGUAGGUGACAAGCGUUGUCCGGAUUUACUGGGUGUAAAGGGCGCGUAGGCGGACUGUCAAGUCAGUCGUGAAAUACCGGGGCUUAACCCCGGGGCUGCGAUUGAAACUGACAGCCUUGAGUAUCGGAGAGGAAAGCGGAAUUCCUAGUGUAGCGGUGAAAUGCGUAGAUAUUAGGAGGAACACCAGUGGCGAAGGCGGCUUUCUGGACGACAACUGACGCUGAGGCGCGAAAGUGUGGGGAGCAAACAGGAUUAGAUACCCUGGUAGUCCACACCGUA